rnacentral:rRNA from 1 species
GACGAACGCUGGCGGCGUGCUUAACACAUGCAAGUCGAACGGUAAGGCCCUUCGGGGUACACGAGUGGCGAACGGGUGAGUAACACGUGGGUGAUCUGCCCUGCACUUCGGGAUAAGCUUGGGAAACUGGGUCUAAUACCGGAUAGGACUCCGGACUGCAUGGUCUGGGGUGGAAAGCUUUUGCGGUGUGGGAUGGGCCCGCGGCCUAUCAGCUUGUUGGUGGGGUGAUGGCCUACCAAGGCGACGACGGGUAGCCGGCCUGGGAGGGUGACCGGCCACACUGGGACUGAGAUACGGCCCAGACUCCUACGGGAGGCAGCAGUGGGGAAUAUUGCACAAUGGGCGCAAGCCUGAUGCAGCGACGCCGCGUGGGGGAUGACGGCCUUCGGGUUGUAAACCUCUUUCAGCAUCGACGAAGCGAAAGUGACGGUAGGUGCAGAAGAAGGACCGGCCAACUACGUGCCAGCCGCCGCAGUAA